CUGAGAAGAGCCCAGCUCCUUGCCUUGAGCCAUGUGAACUGUGCUCUCUGUAGGAAUUCUACAGCCUCAGUGAUCUUAAAUGUUAUGGGUCCUUUGCCAGGCUGGCUGCCCUGGGCUAAGCACUGUACUUAGCGAGGAACGUGUAGCCCAGGUGAGAACUUCAGUCACCUUGACAGCCAGAAGCCUGUUACAUCCACUCAGAAAAGAAAGUCUUCCCACUAUGUAAGAGCCACCUGGGGACCAGUAGUGCAAAGGAAGCCUGCAAAGAGCCAGGAGAAUCAGAUAAUAAGAUAAUAACCACAUCAGACAAUAAGAACAAAGAAGGACUCUAGAGUCAGAGCUGAUCUGGAAUCCUAGCCCGGUUUGAGGUUUUUUGUUUGAUUGGUUUUUUUGUUUGUUUGUUUUGAGCUAGGUUGCUUUAUCUCUCUGAGACUUAGCCUCCUUGUUUUUAAAAUGGUAAAGGUAAUAAAAAUAUCUACUUAAUUAAAUUGUUGGGGAUAUAAAUAUUCAAUUAUGUAAAAGGCCUAGAACAGAGCCAGGCACUCAUUAGACUUCGAAGUAUGAUGAUGCACUUGAGAGUGUGCCCUGUGCAAUAAUUGUCCAAUUCCUACUGGCCACGAGUCUUCAGUUACAGCCUCCUGAGGACAGGGAAGACAGGAGCUUGUGACCUGGCCUGUCCAAAUUUGAGGGCUUUGAAUACUGAUGACAGAUUCCCAAAAUGUCAAAACUAGAACAAACUCGAGAGAUUGUCUAGGCAGAGGACAUUCCCAAAACUUUCUUUUAGACCCAAAACCUGUCAUUCAAACAAAAAGUUUCUGUAACACAAAACAGAUAGAGCAAAGUUAACUUAGUUGGAGAGGAAGUGACAGGGCAGAAAGCCCUUACUUGAUACCCACAGCCAUCUGUUCAGUGACACCCUUGAGGAACGUCCACAGGACACUCGAGUCCCCAGAUAACAGAGGUAGAAAUCCAGUGGUCUGGUAUACCCUCCUAUUUUAUAAGUGGAGAACCCGAAACCCAGAAAGGUUAAGUCACUGCUCCAGGAGUAUUCACAGAGGGAGCAUAGAGCCAGAUCUAGAACCAAGAUUCUUUGCCACUGAUGGUCAGUCCAAUGACACAGUAAAGAAGAGGAGAGCGUAAGUUUGUCUUGGAAGAUCCCCCACCUUCCCAGUUCAUGCCCUCUUUCCCCCAUCAUCUCCCAGUUACCCUCAUUCAAAUCUUCGAUUGACAAAUACUUCCCCUCCAGCAAUAACACAACACUCCCAGUCGGCUCUCCUCAAAGUAUCCCAUCUUCCAAACCUUUCCAGUCUCUCUCUCCCUCUCAGAAUUUAUCCGCCCUCUCUCUUGCUCCCCCAAGAUCCUGCUCCAUACUGACCUACAUGCUCACAGGCGAUUCAGUAAAGAGAUAGCUUGUAUAUUACCCAAGUAACUUCUAGAAGUAUAUUGCAACAAGAACCUCCUAGUAACCCUUCAAAAAAAAAAUUUUUUUUUUGUCUUUUUGCCUUUUCCAGGGCCGCUCCUGUGGCACAUGGAGGUUCCCAGGCUAAGGGUCAAAUUGGAGCUGUAGCCACCGGCCUACACCAGGGCCAAAGCAACAUGGGAUCCCAGCCGCAUCUGAGACCCACACCACAGCUCACGGCAAUGCCAGAUCCUUAACCCACUGAGCAAGGCCAGGGAUCGAACCCGCAACCUCAUGGUUCCUAGUCGGAUUCGUUAAUCACUGCGCCACAACGAGAACUCCAAAAAAAAUUUUAAGAGAAGAUUCAUGUUGACCACUGGGAGGUUUUAGAUAUAUGCUCUUUCAAAUCACGCCAUGCAUUCCUCACCUUACAACACUAGGGUCGCUCCACCAUCAGCAUUGGUUAACUGUGGCUACACCUCAGACCAACACCAUGCUCCCAUUUCUCACGCACCUCCAAAUCCAGCCAAUGUGCUAUUUUCAUAGGUUAUCAUAAGGAGAGGGCACGUCUGUUAAGUCACAGGGGAAAGACAAGAAGGGGAAAGUGGAGCUGAAUUAAAUACACCAGACUCAACAACCCCCACUGAACUUUCCACGGAAACGCUCCCCAUGCACUGCUCCUAGGCACCUAACAUACACCUGAGCAGUGCAAAUGUCACAAGCACUCUGAUUGCACAUAGUACUGCCGAAAUAACCAGCAGUGAGAAGACCUGGGUCUAGUCCCAACUCUGCCAUCAACUACCUGCAUGGACUUGGAAAAGUCCCACUACCAAGUCUAAGUAUCCUCAAUUGUAAAAUGAAGAGAGGAGAUAUCAUGGCUCCAAAGACCUUUCAGACAUCACUUUGUAUGACUGUCAUUCUUCAAGGAGUUUACCUUAUGGGAAAGAUGGUAGAGACAGCUGGCCUCCAAAAGCUUCCCCUUCUCCACUGAGAAGCAAUAGUCUGCCAGGCACUUCCUCCCCCAGAGGCCCUUCAUCUAGGUAAAAUCACGUGACGGGUCUUCCCAAUAGAAUACCAAUGAAAGUGAUACAUUCUACUUCCAGGCAAGGUGACAGACACAGAUGUCCCUUUUCCAUACUUUCUUACCCUAUCUCUGGCUGGAUGCAGAAAAUUCUGAGGGCCUAGAGGAGGCAGAGCCACAAGACAUAAGGAGCCUGGAUUUCCCACUGUAUAGAGGAAGCUGCACUGACCAGGCAUAUUCAUGCUGGACUAUUACAUGAACAAGAGGUCAACUUUUCUUGGGUAAAAUCACUAAAAUUUGAUGGUUUAUUUGUUACAAGAAGCUAGCAUUAACCUAACUACCACGCACACAGAGUUCUAUUAAGAUUUAGAUCUUUGAGACAAUUUGAAAAAUAUUUACAGAAAGUGCUAUGCUCACAGUUGGGAAGACUGAACAAUGAGAAAAAUAGUCCCUUCCCAGGCUCAAACCCAGUAGACCACAAAGACAUAUAUUCCUAGUAGAAUAUAACACAUUACUCUAUGUUGCAGAAUGAGAUAAAUUCGUAAGAAAAGCAAAAAUCUGCAGAGAAGGGAGAAAGGGAGAAUGAAUAAAGCCCACCCAACUCACUUCACAGGAAGACUGUUCUGGAAAGCAUCCAAGUGAACCGUAAUUAGUUCCCAGAUUGAGUUGAAAUUAUGUUUCAGUGAAGACCUGUCUCCUGAUACUCAGAGUGACCCACACUGCCCUCUGGUGAACACAUGUGGUUUGGGGGUAACAGCGGCUCCCCCUGACACAGGAGUCCCAGCAUGCCCCAUGUUCAGUGCAGGCACAAAGAAUGCGAUUUGCCCCAAGCUAUAGUUCAUCCUUUCCUAACUCACUAAUUCUCACAGAUGAAGGAACGAGAUAUGUCAGGCCCACGGACCACCCAGAGGGACUGAGGGAAAUACAAUUACUGUCUUGGGGAACGCAGACCAAAAGGGCUGAUCCUGAGGUAUUUCAAAUUUGCUCACACCUCUGAAAGGAGAACAGUGGGACGGCAGGUGGUCACUAGCGACUGAAAGUUACUCUAAACUGCUCAGGGGUUGAGCAUAUUGCCAUUUAUUACUUGGGGACUUGUCAAAGUAUUACUUUCAUUACACUAAUAAAUACCAUAAAUGUCAAAAUAGAAAAUACUCAAAGUCCUGGAACUUGUCUUAUCUAAAUCUAUAUGAUCUGGAAAUAUUUAGCAAGGGAGCCCUGUAUCACAAAACAGAUACAGAAAGAGUCCUGAGGAAAGCCUUGGGAAAUGCCCAACUAUUAAUUACACACGAAACUGAAACUCUCUUUAAUAGAAAUUGCCUCGGCUGCAAAGAACAAAGCUCAAUGUAUUCCAGGAAAGGAGAAGAGUCCAAGUUCUUUGGUUCCAUUGAGUACAGGCCCUUUAAAGGUAAAACAAUUCAUGAUGGGUAUUUGAAUUUUGUUCAGAUUGUGGAGAAAGGGGAGGAGAAGCUUGUAGAUUUCUAUUUCUCAAGUUCAAAAAACAAAAUCUGAUAUUUUUACUGUAAUCAUGAACUUAAACCUAAAUAAAGAUUUAUUUUUAUUAUUUUUUAAUGGCAGGGAGUUCUCACUGUGGCUCAUCAGGUUAAGAACCCAACAUAGUCUCCAUGAGGAUGAAGCUCUAAUCCCUGGCCUCGCUCCAGUGAGUCAGGAUCCAACAUUGCCACAAGGUGUGGUGUAGGUUGCAGAUGCGGCUCAGACCCAGUAUUGCUAUUUCUGUGGCAUAGGCCAGCAGCUGCAGCUCUGAUUUGACCCCUAGCCUAGGAACUUCCACAUGCUGCAGGUUCACCCAAAAAAAAGAAAAAAAGAAAAAGAUUUAAAGACAAAAAAAAAAAAAAAAGAAGGAAAAGACCCUUAUUUCUAGAAGCCCUCUUCUCACAUGGGUUCCAUGUCAUUUUAAAAAAUAUUUUCAUUUUAAAUCUAAAGAAGAGAAAAAAUACUAGCAUUUCAAUGUGAAUUUCACACACAUACACGUGCAUGAGUGGAUCUCACUUUUGGAAGAUAAUCCCAUUUUGAUGUAGAGUGUGUAACUAUGUGCUGCGUGUUCUCUGACUUAUUUCACAGAAGAGAUGCUAUGUAAUCAUUAAGCAGCAACGCUGAUGAUGCAGGUUGAUUCUGUGGAACUCAGAAGGCACACGAAUGUGACGAGUUUACAGAGGGCACAAUCUUCCAAGUGGAUCAUGAAAAGAGCUCAACUUCCACACAGAAGUCCAGCAACUUACCUGUACUACCCCAGCUGAGCCCAGCUCAGCCCUGCUUUCUUCCAAGAGCUCUAACCACCCACAGUGACGCAUCAUUGGGCACCAGUAGAAGCCUCCUAAUAGCUAACAUGUUACACCGGGCCUAUAAAGCCUGUUUUUAAGUUUGUUUAUCUUUAUUUGUGUGCUGAAUUCCCCCACAGCCUCCUUGAUGAGGCUAUUAAGUGCUCAGUUCUGAAGCUGGUACAGUCCUGUUUUUCCUUUGACUUUUGCCAUUCAAAUCCGGGUCCCCACCCAUGAGUCCCUAGUUGCCAGCUGGCUCUUGGGUACCUGCUUGGCAGAAACCACUUACCCUUUUAUUCCAUGCUACCUGGCUUCUUCCUGCCACAAGGAGGUUUUCCCAAAGCGGAUGGAAGGCAUUUCACACAGGAUGAGCAAUUAUUUGUGCUGUGUUUUGCCACCAAGUCUCUUUAUUGCUCUCCCAGGCAGAUCUGAUAGAGUUCCUCCGAACAGCUGGAAAGGAUGUGAACCAGGGGAAGUUCCUAGUCAGUUACUUCAUUGGCUGUGAUCACGGCAUUGAUAAAUUUUAUUUUGCACUUCAUUUUUUUCACAUCUACUCAGUAAAAAAAAACUGUAGUAAAACAUCGGCAAUAAAAUAAAAAUUCUUAAUGUGUAAAGAUAUUGUUGAAAAUGCUUUUCAGACCCUUCCAACUUGUUACAUGUAAGGAGUGAAUAAAAUUCAAAUGAUGAAUUGCUUCCUUAUUAAGAUUAGUUAUAAACUUCAUCUUAUCUUGAACUGUAUUUAAAAUCACAGUAGUAGAUUUAUAGUAGCAGGAGUAUAAAACUUAGUCAGGUGGUGGUGAACUAGAAGAACUAGUCCUCCUCCUAAAACACAAAAACAUUCAGGGGAGAAAAUGACAGGUUCAUAAAAGAUAAAUUUAUAUCAUGUAUUCCAGAAAACUGGACAUGGUGAAACUUCCCAUUCUGCAUUUGACCCUAUUGGCAGAGCCUCGUCCUAUAAAGGCACCUCUCUAGCAAGCAUCAAUUGACACUCUUAAGUCAAUUUCUGUUUCUCCAAUGUUUACAAAGACCAAGGACUAAGAGGUGAAUUCUUAGUUGAAUGGUCAGUCCACUUUGCUCACUUUAACCCUCUAACCCUAAAAUUAGAGAGACAUUUUGACAAUUCAUGAAUUGAUCUGUAUUUCCAAGGGAAAAAUACACAGACUGAUAUCAAAAGGGUGUGAACAGCAUACACAGAGUCAAAAUGAACGCUAAGUACCAGUCCAGACUCUAUACUACAUAAAGUAUAUGAAUAUAAAGUAAAAUAGUAAGUAUAAAGUGAAAAAAGAGUAUAUAAGUGAAGUAUUAAGAGCGUAAAAGUAUGUAAG
rnacentral:lncRNA from 1 species